rnacentral:rRNA from 1 species
GAGUUUGAUCCUGGCUCAGGACGAACGCUGGCGGCGUGCCUAAUACAUGCAAGUCGAGCGAAUCAAUGGGAGCUUGCUCCCUGAGAUUAGCGGCGGACGGGUGAGUAACACGUGGGUAACCUGCCUGUAAGACUGGGAUAACUCCGGGAAACCGGGGCUAAUACCGGAUAAUAUCUAGAAUCGCAUGAUUCUAGAUUGAAAGAUGGUUUCGGCUAUCACUUACAGAUGGACCCGCGGCGCAUUAGCUAGUUGGUGAGGUAACGGCUCACCAAGGCAACGAUGCGUAGCCGACCUGAGAGGGUGAUCGGCCACACUGGGACUGAGACACGGCCCAGACUCCUACGGGAGGCAGCAGUAGGGAAUCUUCGGCAAUGGACGAAAGUCUGACCGAGCAACGCCGCGUGAGUGAAGAAGGUUUUCGGAUCGUAAAACUCUGUUGUUAAGGAAGAACAAGUACGAGAGUAACUGCUCGUACCUUGACGGUACUUAACCAGAAAGCCACGGCUAACUACGUGCCAGCAGCCGCGGUAAUACGUAGGUGGCAAGCGUUGUCCGGAAUUAUUGGGCGUAAAGCGCGCGCAGGCGGUUCCUUAAGUCUGAUGUGAAAGCCCACAGCUCAACCGUGGAGGGUCAUUGGAAACUGGGGAACUUGAGUGCAGAAGAGGAGAGUGGAAUUCCACGUGUAGCGGUGAAAUGCGUAGAGAUGUGGAGGAACACCAGUGGCGAAGGCGACUCUCUGGUCUGUAACUGACGCUGAGGCGCGAAAGCGUGGGGAGCGAACAGGAUUAGAUACCCUGGUAGUCCACGCCGUAAACGAUGAGUGCUAAGUGUUAGAGGGUUUCCGCCCUUUAGUGCUGCAGCAAACGCAUUAAGCACUCCGGCUGGGGAGUACGGUC